AUCCAAUCAUAACUUGACACGGUAGAGAUUUUCACUAUAGAUAGACUCAGUAGGAUACACGGUUACUUCAUCGUGCUUUUCUGGUGCCUUCUCGUGUGUUCCAGUUCGGUUAAAAUAAGCGGCGCCUGCUGUCCCACCGCCAUACGAGGAGCUCCACAAGUCACAAAAAGAAGGCUACACACGAGUCUCUUUCCCCAUUCUCUCAACUUCCAGGUCCAAUUCCGCAACGCAAUCCACUGCCGUGGCCGUCGAUCUCUACGCCCUGGCCGGUCCUCCUCCUCCUUAUUCCCUAUCUCCAUGGCCGCCCUUGGGAGUCACCUACUGGUGCGCCCCACCUCCGUGCACCUGCCAUGGCCAGGCCGCCGCCGGACCUGAUGCGGUUGAUGUCCGCCGCCGGUCCUGCUCGACAACCGGAAGGUUUGGUCCUUCUCGCCUUAGGUACAGAGAAAUCUGCGGUUGCCCUCCACGGUGGCGUGGGCGACCAUGCACUACGCGUCCUCGGCACCCAGCACAAUAUAGGGUAUAGUUUGCGUGUCUGAAACAUAUGAUGUACCGCAGAGGAGGCGGUGCAUCGGCAGGUUCAAGUGGGUCACGCUCUGGAUUGGCGGUGGCAUGAGCUCUGACGCUGCGUGAAUCAUAGACUCGGCAAGCAGCAGCUGGCUUUGGCGAGGAGGGAGAAAGCAGGUCAAUGCCCACGGCUGAGCCUUUUUCCCCUUCCCUGGUUCGUUCCUAUUCUUGAGCUUGGCUGUGUAUUCGAGGUUUAGUGCCUAUUUCUGGAUUGGUGGUUUAAAUGAGCCCUGUAGAUUGUUUGGGGAUUGAUUUUAAGGUGAGCCAAUUUGUUAACAAUGAAGAGUACGUUCAUGUAGACCUGUACUGUUGUUUUUCUUUUUAGUAUAGUGAGAGGUAUUUAUGUCGAUUCAGUUGGACUGUUUGUACUUCUUCAUUACAGAUCCCUGGUAGUGUCCCUUGCAGAUUUUGUAAUUGACCUUUUCUGAUUAGCAGAUUAUUUUUCACCAUCUAUGUAGUCCUUUUACAUGAAGAAUUCAUUAUUUUGGAGCUUGAGAGAUGAACAAGAAUUUUAGAGGCAACAAUACUGAAUAUAUCUAUUGUAGGCCCGUUGAGUGAUCAACCUGGCCUCUUUCUUUACAGCAGGUUUCUGUUGCCAUUGUUUUCAUUGAGGUUUGCAGUCCACCAAUCUAUUUACCGGGCACAGAUGAAUCUAUUCUGAAGUGUGGAGAGAUAUCACACUCUUCUUCCUUUUCUGGUACAUGGGUGCUUCCGAUUGAAGUGCUCAUUUGUUUCUUUGAGUAUCCAUCAGUUAUUUGGACCUUCUGUGAUCUCUGUGUUUACAACUUGAUUUCAGUUUACAGAGAUUUAUUUAUGUUUGUAGGCUACUCAUAUUGAUGAUUGAUGCUGUGGCCGGUUGGUAUUCUUCCAGUCGUCAUCGGGUCACCUCUCCUUCUGGUUUGCGUGCUCUGCCUCGACGUUUGAAGACUUAUAUCCAGAUCAGAUACUCUUCUGGCUAUCGGUGCAUGCGAUGUUGUACAACUGCUCCAUUAAACGCACACCUCAGCAUGCCAUUAAAACAGUAUACAUAAAGGUACCCCACAGAAUCACACACAUCAAGUUUGUGUUUUCAUUGGCAAUUUCAAACCAUGUUGUCCUCAAACAUUUUUGCGGUCUCCAAUCAAAGAACAAGAAAUAUUCAUAUGUAGCAGGUCAUUAUUCCCCUUAAUAGCCAACUUAACAGGGAUUAAUGAAAAUUUUGUUUACCCGUCUGGGUUAUAUUUGCGAUCAGCCUACUUCAAUACCAUGUCAAAAGCCUAACUUUUGUUGCGCUGAUGUCUUUUUACAUAUGAACAUAGAUCUGUCAUGAAAUGUUUGAGUUGGGUUCAAACUUCUUUCUGAAUGUCUGAUCAUAAAUCGGCCACAUCACCAGGUAGGAUGGCAUCUCCACUCAUUUCAGUUUUCAUCAUUUGGUCUAUCACCAGUGAGACUAUCAAAUCUUCAAUAUUAAAGCUUAUUCCAGGACUUUGGUUGGUAGUUCUGUAGUUGAUCAAGUAGUUUCAUCCAGUAGCCUGACUUGGUGUUCUUAUUUUUGCAGAAAAUGCAUGUUGUCAAUUAGAUUGCAGAUUAGAAAGAGCCACUCUCCUUUAGGCCAGCGGUGGUUGCACAAAAAAUUCUCUAGGAAACCAAGCAAACUUCCAUUAUUCCCAACUUUGUUUUGUUCUUUCUGACCUAUAACUGAACUAGAGUACUUGAUUCUGAUCAGUGGGUAGUGUAAUUUUUUUUCAACUAUUAAAUAUCUUUAGAAGAUGGCCUGCUCCUGUUUUGGAGAGUGUAAUGCUCGGUUUGUCUGCUUCUCUGUCUUACUUAGCAGUUAGCAGUGCAGUCACUAAGUAGUCAGUCACUUAUGCAAUCACCACCGGAAAUAUCUUGCCUUUUCUUUUUCCCAAUUUUGUUUUGUUCUUUCUGACCUAUAACUGAACUAGAUGACUUGAUUCUGAUCAACGGGUAGUGUAAUUUUUUUCAAGUAUUAAGUCCCUUUAGAAGAAGACCUACUCCUGUUUUUGAGAGUGUAAUGCUCGGUUUGUCUGCUUCUCUGUCUCUUACUUAGCAGUGCAAUCACUUAUUAGUCAGUCACUUAUGCAACCACCACCGGAAAUAUUUCCUCUUCAUUAUCAAGAUCAUGACUUAUAGUGUGAUUCUUCUGUAGUGCCGGUGAACUAAGCGGGUUUGAUGAACACAUGUUGGUGUUGUUGCAGGUUAAGCGUUUUAGUGUCAGAUGAAGGAAUUGGAUAGCUCCUACAUGUUCGUUGUUUCUUAAGUGCAGGUAUUUCAGUCUCCAGAAUUUGGCAGAUAUUCGUAUCCUGAUAGUGAUCUUGCUGAAUAUUCAAACAGAUAAAGAUUGCAAAUUACUUCGGCUGAUUUUUUAUUCUCGACAGUGAUGGAUAUAUACUAUAUACAUGUGAAGGUAACUCAAAGGAUCACACGUGAACUUCAUAAUUUCGUUGGCAGCUUCAAGAAAAGCAACCUACAUCUCAACUGGGACCUUCCGAUCUUCAAUAUAGACUUCCAAGUGUUCUGUUGUUUUGAUCAGCUCAGCGGACAUCUAACGACAUUUUGGUUCCAUGACUCCAUGAGGCCUCCUACUCUUUGCAUGUUUUAUGCAAAGUGCAACGAGUUUAGGCUGCACAAGAUGUACAUACAGAUGUGGUCAUAUUCUCAAAAGUUCAAGCAUAGGAUUUCUUAGCUCUUCUGAUAGAAGGGUUGAUUGACAGAAAACUAAGCCUCACUUUCUGUAUAAAAUGUACUGGUUCUUUCUUUUUGCAAUAUAGAACAGUAGCUAACCAAA